GACGAACGCUGGCGGCGUGCUUAACACAUGCAAGUCGAACGGUGAAGCGCCUUCCUUUUUGGUGGGUGUGGAUGAGUGGCGAACGGGUGAGUAACACGUGAGUAACCUGCCCCCUUCUUCUGGAUAACCGCAUGAAAGUGUGGCUAAUACGGGAUAUUCUGGGUCUGUCGCAUGAUGGGUCUGGGAAAGAUAUUGUUUCGGUGGGGGAUGGGCUCGCGGCCUAUCAGCUUGUUGGUGGGGUGAUGGCCUACCAAGGCGGUGACGGGUAGCCGGCCUGGGAGGGUGGACGGUCACACUGGGACUGAGACACGGCCCAGACUGCUACGGGAGGCAGCAGUGGGGAAUAUUGCACAAUGGGCGAAAGCCUGAUGCAGCGACGCCGCGUGAGGGAUGGAGGCCUUCGGGUUGUGAACCUCUUUCGCCAGUGAAGCAGGCCUGCCUCGUUUGUGGGUGGGUUGACGGUAGCUGGAGAAGAAGCGCCGGCUAACUACGUG
rnacentral:rRNA from 1 species